rnacentral:rRNA from 1 species
UACAGAGGUGGCAAGCGUUGUUCGGAAUUACUGGGCGUAAAGGGCGCGUAGGCGGCCAUCUAAGUCAGACGUGAAAUCCCCCGGCUUAACCUGGGAACUGCGUCUGAUACUGGAAGGCUCGAGUUUGGGAGAGGGAUGUGGAAUUCCAGGUGUAGCGGUGAAAUGCGUAGAUAUCUGGAGGAACACCGGUGGCGAAGGCGGCAUCCUGGACCAACACUGACGCUGAGGCGCGAAAGCUAGGGGAGCGAACCGG